rnacentral:rRNA from 1 species
CGGGUUUCGGUUAAACCUACCUUUUGGUUCAGGGAAGGAAAAUAAGUUGCAGUUUAAUAGCUGCAAAACUAGACGGUACCUGCAGAAUAAAGCCACGGCUAACUCCGUGC